AGGCGACGACGGGUAGCCGGCCUGAGAGGGUGACCGGCCACACUGGGACUGAGACACGGCCCAGACUCCUACGGGAGGCAGCAGUGGGGAAUAUUGCACAAUGGGCGAAAGCCUGAUGCAGCGACGCCGCGUGAGGGAUGACGGCCUUCGGGUUGUAAACCUCUUUCAGUAGGGAACAAGGCCAGCUUUUUGGUUGGUUGAGGGUACUUGCAGAAGAAGCGCCGGCUAACUACGUGCCAGCAGCCGCGGUAAUACGUAGGGCGCAAGCGUUAUCCGGAAUUAUUGGGCGUAAAGAGCUCGUAGGCGGUUUGUCGCGUCUGCCGUGAAAGUCCGGGGCUCAACUCCGGGUCUGCGGUGGGUACGGGCAGACUAGAGUGCGGUAGGGGAGAUUGGAAUUCCUGGUGUAGCGGUGGAAUGCGCAGAUAUCAGGAGGAACACCGAUGGCGAAGGCAGAUCUCUGGGCCGUAACUGACGCUGAGGAGCGAAAGGGUGGGGAGCAAACAGGCUUAGAUACCCUGGUAGUCCACCCCGUAAACGUUGGGAACUAGUUGUGGGGUCCAUUCCACGGAUUCCGUGACGCAGCUAACGCAUUAAGUUCCCCGCCUGGGGAGUACGGCCGCAAGGCUAAAACUCAAAGGAAUUGACGGGGACCCGCACAAGCGGCGGAGCAUGCGGAUUAAUUCGAUGCAACGCGAAGAACCUUACCAAGGCUUGACAUAUACGAGAACGGGCCAGAAAUGGUCAACUCUUUGGACACUCGUAAACAGGUGGUGCAUGGUUGUCGUCAGCUCGUGUCGUGAGAUGUUGGGUUAAGUCCCGCAACGAGCGCAACCCUCGUUCUAUGUUGCCAGCACGUAAUGGUGGGAACUCAUGGGAUACUGCCGGGGUCAACUCGGAGGAAGGUGGGGAUGACGUCAAAUCAUCAUGCCCCUUAUGUCUUGGGCUUCACGCAUGCUACAAUGGCCGGUACAAUGGGCUGCAAUACCGUGAGGUGGAGCGAAUCCCAAAAAGCCGGUCCCAGUUCGGAUUGAGGUCUGCAACUCGACCUCAUGAAGUCGGAGUCGCUAGUAAUCGCAGAUCAGCAACGCUGCGGUGAAUACGUUCCCGGGACUUGUACACACCGCCCGUCAAGUCAUGAAAGUCGGUAACACCUGAAGCC
rnacentral:rRNA from 1 species